rnacentral:tRNA from 18 species
GCGAGAGUGGCGAAAUUGGCAGACGCGCUGGACUUAGGAUCCAGUGGGGAGACCUGUGAGGGUUCAAGUCCCUCCUCUCGCACCA